rnacentral:rRNA from 1 species
CCUACGGGCGGCUGCAGUGAGGAAUAUUGGUCAAUGGACGAGAGUCUGAACCAGCCAAGUAGCGUGGAGGAUGACUGCCCUAUGGUUUGUAAACUUCUUUUAUAUGGGAGUAAAAUGUUCCACGUGUGGGAUUUUGUAUGUACCAUAUGAAUAAGGAUCGGCUAACUCCGUGCCAGCAGCCGCGGUAAUACGGAGGAUCCGAGCGUUAUCCGGAUUUAUUGGGUGUAAAGGGAGCGUAGGUGGAUUGUUAAGUCAGUUGUGAAAGUUUGCGGCUCAACCGUAAAAUUGCAGUUGAAACUGGUAGUCUUGAGUACAGGAGAGGUGGGUGGAAUUCGUGGUGUAGCGGUGAAAUGCUUAGAUAUCACGAAGAACUCCGAUUGCGAAGGCAGUUCACUAGACUGCAACUGACACUGAGGCUCGAAAGUGUGGGUAGCAAACAGGAUUAGAUACCCUUGUAGUC